CAGUUCUAGGCUUUCCAUGGCAUCCAUACAGCCAGAGGAUGCAAGGACAUUUUUCCCAGAACCUACUUUCAGAAUAAAGAGACAUACUUUCUAGAAGCUUCCAGGAAAACUGUUUUAGGCAAAGUCCCUCAAAAACCAGAUACCAAGAUGAGAUUUUUAUCUGCUGGGCUUUCAUGGAGAAAAACAAGUAUGGAUGCAAACAGGGAGCUGGGAAGGCUGGCAGAGCAGUCAGAAGAUGAGGGAAUGCUGACGUGGAGUGAAGGAAAGAGGGCGAGAGGUUGGUGGAAGUGCUUGUACUGUGUGGUCUAAGCACAGUCUUAAGGGAAUUCUUUAGCCAACAUCAGCUGACUUAGAAAUUUUGUCUCCCAGGAACCAACCUGUGUUCAUAUUCCUUCAGAUCCAUAAACUUGGGGAUGACUGCCAGACUGCAGCACCUGGGCCCUUGAUCAGUUGUGCCACGGGAAUGAAUAGGAGGAUAAGGUUUCAACAGGAGGAGUCUUGAUUUGGUGCUUGCUUCUCUGUAUGGCAGGGGUCUUACAGUAAACAGGUUUGAUUGGCAUUUUGGCAAUCAAAUCUCUGGGAGUCUCCACGGCUACACUAGAACUUGAGCAGGAGCUAGAACAGGGUGCCAACCUGAAGUAAGCAUUCUCAAACUAGGGGUUUCCAUCUGGGAGUUCUUACAACUGGGCUUCCCUGCCUAAUGGCUUCAACAUCACUCAAUUCACACACAGCUCAGUUCACAUAUGGGUCAGGAUGGCUUCCGGCAUACGAGGACAUUAAAGUCUUAGGGGGUUAAGAAAUCUUCCUGAGAACACAACAGGUAAGUAGGUGGCUGGUUGAUUGCAAAGUUAUAGCAUCUCCUCCACUUCAAAUUCUUACUAUGGCCAUCUCUCUUCCAGCUUGCUUCAACAAAGCAUUUUAGAUUUGCUUUUCAGGGCUUCUUCUCUUCUGGGUGAGACUGGGAGAGCUUUGUGUCCUCUUAGGUACUGUAUUAAUGCAUUCCACCAACACCGGCUUGAGAUGGCAACUGAAGGCUCUUGAGGCUGGCACAACACCAACUAGAAGGUCAGUUUGUCCUUAAUGUCCAAUAAUUGCAGGUAGCCAAAUACAGUACAGUGCUCAGGAAUAACAUCACUUGGCUGACCUCAUAAGGAAAACUGUUUAAUGUAUCCAUUUUGGUUGCUUAGUUAUAUGCUGAUACACACCAAGAUCAUGUGAAGCUGGCACUUUAGGGAGCCAACGGAAAGACAGACAAUGACCAAAAUAACAAGGACGGUGGAGAGAGUUUCAAGGGUCAUCUCAGUGACAACUCAGACAAAGUAAUCUUUACUGUGGGUUUGCCCUAAUUUAAGGAAUACAAAUUAACAACACAGAUAAGUAAAGAAGUGAGUAUGUAUUGCAAAGAAAAGGCAUAAUGAAUUUACAGAAGGAUUCAGUGUAAGAGCCCCUUAAAUAUCAAUUAAGUGCAUUUAAAAUAUAAUUCAUUAUAUAUAAUAUCAUUUACUAUCGUUUUCAAGAGUACAACCAUUGGGUUAAGGGCUGUUCACCUAUGCUUUGAAAAAAAUACAAUUCAAAUAACUUCCACAAGAAGUUUAAUACAUUUUCUUAUGUCUUUAAUACAUUUUUUAUGUCUAUACAUUCAAGAAUAUUCAUGAAGGCUUUAUUAUGUACAAGACACACUACUGAAUUCUAAGACACUGACUUGGUAGAUCUGGGAUGAGGCCAGAUUAUGCAUUCCUAACAAGUUCCCAGACCACACUGGGUAGAAAGGGCUUCUAGAGAUUCAACUAGAAAAGGUGAGGCUCUGAGUGUCAGAGCCCAAUACCACUGUAGGUUGAGUCAGGGAAGGAUGCUGUUCCCAUCCAAUAGAUGGGUCUCUGGCAACAGCACCUGCGCCAGCACAAUCACAGCAUGCCCUUGGCUUCCGUUGCUGCUGCUGGUCAGUGGGUUUUGCAGUCCCUGAAGCUGGAGUGAAUUCCUAUUUGCAGGAAUCUUUGUAGUCUCAAAGACAUGAGUGAGAGCGGAUAUCUUCUUUCUGCCUCUGUAGUGAGAGGCAGGCUGUGCUUCCCACAAUGACUCACCAUAGGAAAAAUUGAUCUUCCUCAAACCUGGAAGGAAGAUCAGAACUGGACAGCCGAAAUAUGAUAAUGUCUACUAUAAAAAUUAUGUCAACUUAUAUAUAUAUAUAUAUAUAUAUAUAUAUAUAUAUAUAUAUAUAUAAAAACUCCACUUAUUGAUGUGGCUCACCAAUACAUGAUCCACUAUACAGAGAUAAACUUCCCAGGAACCCAUGCAGUCACAUGGCUUUAACCUUGGACGUGCCAAUCUUCCUCCAACCUUGAAUAGAAGGAACAGAUAUUCUGCAUUAACACGUCAUGCUAAUAUGGGCUCUUCCUUAUUUGCAGUAAAAAACAUUUCACAUUCCAAUUCUCAUUUGCUUUAUUUUUCUUUUUACUGAAUUUUUUUUCUUGUGUUAGGGAAUAUAUCUCUGGAUUUAGUUUAUGAGGAUCAAUCAAAUCCCAGAGGCAUUCAGUUCAUCCUCAUGAUGGGAUUUCCAGGGCUAUUUCUCCAAUAUUAAAAAAUAAAGGUAAAUCUUAUGCUGCAGUUAAGAAGAAUGAGAAAUGUCAAAGUGUACACCGGUUUGUUCCCCUUUUAGGAUCACUAUCCCCAACCAAAUUGUAAGCUGGCUUUCAUUAAAAUGUGAUAUUUAUCUUUCCAAAGUGAAUUUGUCUUCCUCUGAUAAGAAGAGAAAAAAUGUCACUAUUUGCUGCUAAAUAAAUAAAUAUAGGAACAGACACAUGAUUCUUUUAAUGAAAACCAUAAUUUGAAAACAAUAUCUUUCUUAAAUGUACAGUACACUAAUAGAG
rnacentral:lncRNA from 1 species